rnacentral:rRNA from 1 species
UGGGGAAUCUUGCACAAUGGGGGCAACCCUGAUGCAGCGACGCCGCGUGAGCGAUGAAGCCCUUCGGGGCGUAAAGCUCUUUCGACCGGAACGAUAAUGACGGUACCGGGAGAAGAAGCUGCGGCUAACUACGUGCCAGCAGCCGCGGUAAUACGUAGGCAGCAAGCGUUGUUCGUAGUUACUGGGCGUAAAGAGUGCGUAGGCGGUUUUCUAAGUUCGGUGUGAAAUCUCCCGGCUUAACUGGGAGGGUGCGCCGAAGACUGGGAAGCUGGAGUGUGGGAAAGGCAGGCGGAAUUCCUGGUGUAGCGGUGAAAUGCGUAGAUAUCAGGAGGAACACCGGCGGUGUAGACGGCUUGCUAGACCAUAACUGACGCUGAGGCACGAAAGCGUGGGUAGCAAACA